UGCCGCCAGCAGGGUCGAACCUGCGACCUUGGGCUUAUUAGACCCACGCUCUAACCGACUGAGCUAUGGCGGC
rnacentral:tRNA from 1 species